UACGAAGGGGGCUAGCGUUGCUCGGAAUCACUGGGCGUAAAGGGUGCGUAGGCGGGUUUUAAGUCAGAGGUGAAAUCCUGGAGCUCAACUCCAGAACUGCCUUUGAUACUGAAAGUCUUGAGUAUGGGAGAGGUGAGUGGAACUGCGAGUGUAGAGGUGAAAUUCGUAGAUAUUCGCAAGAACACCAGUGGCGAAGGCGGCUCACUGGCCCAUAACUGACGCUGAGGCACGAAAGCGUGGGGAGCAAACAGGA
rnacentral:rRNA from 1 species